rnacentral:rRNA from 1 species
CCUACGGGAGGCUGCAGUGAGGAAUAUUGGUCAAUGGCCGGAAGGCUGAACCAGCCAUGCCGCGUGAAGGUCAGUGCCCUUUGGGCGUUAAACUUCUUUUGUGCGGGAGCAAUAAUGGUCACGUGUGGCCAGACGAGAGUACCGUACGAAUAAGCAUCUGCUAACUCCGUGCCCGCAGCCGCGGUAAUACGGGGGGUGCAAGCGUUAUCCGGAGUUAUUGGGGUUAAAGGGUGCGUAGGCUGGGAGUUAAGUCAGCGGUGAAAUGCCGCCGCGCAACGGGGUGAAGUGCCAUUGAUACUGGCGUGCUGGAAUGCGGAUGCCGUGGGAGGAAUGUGUGGUGUAGCGGUGAAAUGCAUAGAUAUCACACAGAACACCGAUUGCGAAGGCAGCUCACGAAUCCGCGAUUGACGCUGAUGCACGAAAGCGUGGGUAUCAAACAGGAUUAGAUACCCGUGUAGUC